AGAAUGAAGCACAGAGAGGCAGAAAAGGUAAGAGGCAAGGCUGUUAUAGAUAUUAUAGAAAUAGUCUCUGUAGCUGAUAUAGUACUAUAUGGUGGUAAGAGUCUCUUCCUCUAUCCAUCUUAGGUUCUUUAGUUGGGAUCAUAUAAGUCACACUAGACAAAGAUUAGGUAGCUAGCAAGAGAAGAACAAACAAGUUUGUUAACCUGUGCAUUUUACAGGUAAAAUAGGACAAUAGUCAGACAUAAGUAACUAUGGGUAUGUUAAAAGAGAUAUUUAUAACACAGGCUUAAAUUCUGUCUCAGUUUAUGAUAAAAGAGGAUUUGAGGGUUUUAGAUGGCAUAGAGGUAACAUAUGAAAAGUUGACCAGGAAAAAUAUUGUACAUAUAGUUUGGAUUUCUGUUGCUGUGAUAAAGCACUGACCAAAACUAACAUGGGGAAGAAAAGAUUUAUUUUACUUUACAACUCUAAGGACACACCUAAGGGAAAUUAGGACAGGAACUCAAGGCAGGAAUUUGGAGACAGGAACUGAAUCAGAGACCAGAGAGGAACACUGCUUACUGGUUUGCUUUCCUGAUCAUGCUCAGCUACCUUUUAUAUACAGUCCAGAUCCACUUGCCUAAGGAUGGUAUAGCCUUUUGUGGAAUGAGAUCUCCUAUAUCAAUUAACAAUAAAGAAAUGCACCUACAGACUUGCCCACAGGCCAAUUUGGUGGAGGCAAUUCCUCAAGUGAGGUUUUUUUUUCUUCCCAGGUGACUUGAAUGUGUGUCAAGUUGACAAAGAGUAACCAGCAUACUACACAUAGGCUGUUCAUGAAAUUUAUUAUACAGAUUCAAGACUGAAUCUAUCUUAAUGAGAGUUAUUAGAGUCCUGCUUUUUGUGGUCCACAGAAAAAUAGGUCCAUAAAUGGAAAUUUUCUUUAUUGUAAUAAGUUCAUUUGCAAAAAGAAAAUGUGAUGUCAGAGCUUUUUCUAUCCCUUCUUUGAUUCCUACGAGCCUUCAGCUCAAAAUAGUCCAUGCGCACAACAGAAAAGGACAGGCCUCUGUGAAUAUCAACCAGCCGUGGCACAUCAAGUUGCAGUGAUCUGCUUUUGCCAUCUGAGCCCUGCAUCUUAAAGAUUUUGCAACCUUCCAAAAGAGUAGUACCACUGGGAAAUAAGCCUGGGGGGAUAUUUUGAUUUCAAAUCUUAAGAGUGAAUUUGGGGUUGGAUCCUUUGGAUUCACGUUUUAGCAUUUACCGAAGCUCUCACUUGUAUGUGUCUCAUACCAACCUGUGUGCGCUCUUGCCUUCAAGGGAUCUUAAUGUCUAUUCCCUAAGAGGAGCUCCAGAGAUUGAUAGUCACAGCUUGCCAGUUACUAUCACCUUCUGAGACAAUCUCUGGCAAACCGUUCUAAAUCUUGGUGAUGUAAUGAGAAUUCUCUGGGUCUUCUUAGGUCAUAAUUCUUGCCCAAUUUGCCAUCUGAUUACUCAGGCCAUGAUCAAGAACAUACUGGGUUCUCAGAAAAUAGGUCUUUGCAGUGUGGUAUAAGACAGAAUGAAAUCUGGUACCAGAAAAUCUA